UGAUAGCUAUGAAACACAGGUUGCUAUACCCCAUAAAAAGGGCAUAGGUUUUGUGUGGAGCGAAGGUCAUGUUACAAAAACUGGCGACAA
rnacentral:ncRNA from 2 species